UUGAAGGGAAGACCAGCUGCAGCCCACACGGAAGGGGACAGAGGAGAAUGUUCCUCCUAAGAAGGGGAGGAGGUUCCUGGCUUGCAGUGMCUCUGCGUAUUGUAGGGCUGUGUCUUACUGGAGCUGUACAUUCUGGACAAGAUCUGAGGUCUCUUCUACAGCACAAAAUCCAUCUAUACCCUGAAGACCAUCUGAUUUCCAAAAACUUGCUUUGAUCAAGCAAGGACAACUUAUUUGGAAUACCUUCCUCUCUUCCUGCAAAUCUCUGAGCAGAUUUCAAGGCAUCGUAUUUCCCUGUGUUCAGAAGAACCCCUGGAUCUUCCCUCAAGCUUCCCGAGCKCUUCCUUUACAGUCCCUGCGGUUUCAGGCAGUGAUUUCUGUGGGCAGAAUGAAUGGUUUUUGUUUGAGGCAAAACAACUUCCCUUGAGUAACUGAACAAGGGACACUGAAAAGUAGAGAACUGCUUCCAGCAAAUCCUUCUCUUCUAUGUACUGGCCUCCCCAUGUGCACUUAGACACUUCUGCACAUUUUUAGUCUUUCGGAAUUUUUUUCCUCUUGUAUUAAUAUGGAUCGUUAUUAAUUCCCCAGUUGGAAUYUCCUGUAAUCUCCUGAUUCCAGGAGACAGUUGGCAUCGCUGCAAAUACUUUGUUUUCCUGAUUGUCAGAUUGCA